rnacentral:lncRNA from 1 species
GCAUCAUGUAAACUCAUACUAAUUACUAAUAUAUUUUUAAAUAUAAAAGUAUAAUCAAUUUAAGCAUAGAGCUGAGGCUUUAUAAGUACUGUGGUCUCUGUAAGAUGAUUUACUAAGAUGGACCUGUCUCAAUAUGUGCUAAAACCAAUAUAAUAGCAUUUAGUGUUUUAAUAUUAAUUUGAGUUGGUAUUGAGGAAAACAUUGCCAUUCCCAUUUCCCCCCAAUUUUCCCACUACUUGUUAAUAAACGCGCACAACGUUGACCGUAGGGAGAGGCCCUUUUUGACCCCGUACAUGCUUCAAAUAAUGGGGUUUUAAAAACGUCUUGUGAAUUAGAGUCGUUUGUUGAUGGCUGUGAAAAGCCACAGUGUUACACAGCAAACAUGCGUUAUUAGUGGUGAAUUCGGCCUAGUGGGUUCUACGUAUUAUUAAAGAAUUUACGGUAAAACAGUUGGCGGCUAUUACAAAACCAGUUCGUGUUCUACAGCAUUUAGGCUUUGUCAACGUGCGGGCGUUUUGGUGCUAAAUGAACGAACUAAUGAGGUUGUGUUUACACACGUGGUGGCGCCGGUGGACACGAGGGGGCGCGUCGUACUUAUCGUUAGUGAACUUGGAGAGAGACUACAAACGCUACGAACUAGAAGAUGAAAAGAAAAGUGGUGUCGAAAGGAUGAGACGGCAGCGGAAAAAGAGCCGGACGGAGCAGCGUAUGGCGAAAAUCACUCCUUCAUUUGUGGCUAAAUGGGAGCCUAACAGGAACCCACAGGACAGCCGGUUGUGCUGCCCAGGGCCGAAGCUACCGUGCUUCAUCCUGUCUACGUGAAAGUAAUUGCUGCCAAGAAUCCCCAUGCUGGCCCUGGCAGCCCUUAUUUUGCCGAGGACGUCACUGAGCUGGAUAUUUCUGUCCUUACAUGGGCAAAUAUUCCAUCUUCGUCUGGUUCUGGUUUAAUUAUUUAAAUAUUUAUUAAUGAUUGUCAACAGCCAACCUUUUGAUUGCUCACUAAUAAUAACUGUAUUAUUGUGAUGAUUCUGUUUAUCCUCUCAGUUUCAAACACAAUGAUUAUUUCAGUCCGUGUACGAGUGACUCCAGCUUUUGGAAGACAUUGCUGUGCCAAGCAGUCGGACGUGGACGCUGCCUGUAGACAAACGAACAGACUCAUUAAAGUCAGGUGGCAGCAGUGCUUGACUGUGCAUUCAUGUCUGUGUCAGCAGGGUGAAGCUCAAGUCUAAUUCUCCCGCCAACGUCUAUCUGAUUGCACGAAGCAAAGGGCAGAAGUUCUCCCUCACCUCCAGCUCGCCGUAAUGAAAAAGGCUCAGAUUAUGAAAAUAACCCCCUCCCACUGCCUCUAACACAUCUCCGGAGCAAAUAGGGAGACCUUUAUUUCUCUGUUCCUUGCUCAGUUUCCUGUGCAGGUCAUUGGAGUGGCCUGGGGGUCUGGCAGAGAUGGAGGCGGCGUGGGCCUACGCAUGGAAAUUAGAUGGGGAUGAUUAGACGCCGCUCUGGACUCCGGUAGAGUUAUUGAAGAACUCGUCUGACUGACACUUUCCCUCAUUUCAGUUUGAUGAGAUGAAGAUGGUAGUGCAGUAAAUGGUUACAGAGUAGGAGAAGCAGAGAACUUGUAGCAAAUAGAAAAAUGAAGAGAGAGACUCGCUCACUGCUGUACUUUUUUCAACAGGUUAGUUGCUAAACUGCGUUGAUGUACUGCUACCUACUGCAAGCACUGGCAUUAGUUGGAUCUAAUUAGAUUGGAUGAAAUCUGUAAAUAAAUACUAAUUUAAAAUGCCGGUUUCCA